GCCGGGCGUGGUGGCUCACACCUGUAAUCCCAGCUACUGGGGAGGCUGAGAUGGGAGGAUCACUUGAACCCAGGAGGCUGAGGUUGCAGUGAGCCAAGAUCCCACCACUGCACUCCAGCCUGGGUAACAAAGUGAGACCCUGUUUCAA
ensembl:misc_RNA Metazoa_SRP Metazoan signal recognition particle RNA